rnacentral:lncRNA from 1 species
GAAACUCAAACAGGAAGUACCCGUGCUAAGGUAUAUUCAAUGCUGGUCUGACAAUCGGAAUCCAUGCUUCAAGAUUGUUUUGAUAACACGGACUGGGAUAUGUUCCCGGGUUGCCUCUGAGAAUAACAUUGACGUAUAGAGACGGACACGGUGACUGAGUUCAUCAGGAAGUGUAUAAGGGAUGACAAAGUGGAGUCGCAAUUCAACGGCUCAGCCACGAGACGCAUGUGGCAGGGACUCCAGACAAUCACGGAUUAUGAAGGGAAUAGCAGCCAUGACACGGACACCGACGUCUUUCUCCCGGACAAGCUAAACACCUUUGCCCGCUUUGAGGAUAGCACAGUGCUACCGACACAGCCCACUCCCUAGGACUGUGGGCUCUUGGUCUCCGUGGCCGACGUAAGUAAGGCAUUUAAGCGCGUUAACCAUCGCAAGGCUGCCGGCCCAGACUGCAUUCCUAGCCGAGGCCUCAGAGCAUGUGCAGACCAGCUGGCUGGAGUGUUUACGGACAUAUUCAGUCUCUCCCUAUCCCAGUCUGCUGUCCCCACUUACUUCAAGAUGUCCACCAUUGUCCCUGUAACCAAGAUAGUCAUUUAGUUCAGUUACCUUUGCUAUCGCCCCAUAGCACUCACUUCUGUCAUCAUGAAGUGCCAUGGGAGGCUAGUUAAGGAUCAUGUCACCUCCACCUUAUGUGACACCCUAGAGACACUUCAAUUUGCAUACCGCCCCCAAUAGAUCCACAGACGAUGCAAUCGCCAUCACACUGCUCUAUUCCAUCUGGACAAGAGGAAUACCUAUGUAAGAAUACUGUUCAUCGACUAUAGCUUAGACUUUAACACCAUAGUACCCUCCAAGCGCAUCAUUAAACUCGGGCCCCUGGGUCUGAAACCCCCCCCCCCUGAUGGGCUGCCCCCAGGUGGUGAAGGUGGGAAACAACACCACUACACUGAUUCUCAAUACAGGGACCCCAGAAGGGUGCAUGCUCAGCCCCCUCCUGUACUCCCUGCUCACCAAUGACUGCGUGGCCAUGCACACUUCCAACUCAAUCAUCAAGUUUGCAGACGACACAACAGUAGUAGACCUGAUUAACAACAAUGACGAGACAGCCUACAGGGAGGAGGUGAGGGUCCUGGCGGAAUGGUGCCAGGAAAUAACCUCUCUCUCAAUGUCAACAAAAUGAAGGUGCUGAUCGUGGACUUCAGGAGACAGCAGAGGGAGCACACUCCUAUCGACGGGACCGCAGUGGAGAAGGUGAAAAGCUUCAAGUUCCUCGGAGUACACAUCACUGACAAUCUGUGUGGUGAAAACAGCACCUCUUCAACCUCAGGAGGCUGAAGAAAUUCAGCUUAGCCCCUAUUACACAAUUGAAAGCAUCAUGUCGGGCUGUAUCACCGCCUGGAGAAGGGCACAGUGUUGCAUUUGAGCAGGUCAUCAUGAACUUCGUGUAGGUGCAUCAGCCAAUACAAACCAUUCACACAGUUCAGGCACUCAGCCCUAUCCAGUGGACAUGAUGCUCUCAAAGACCUGCUCUACCGCUUCCUACAACACCCUGAUGAGAAGCAAUAAGACUGGCCUCAUGACUGUCUGCAUAUCUCUCUAACCUUGCUGUACCCUACUGUGCUGAGACAAUAUGACUGUAGAACACUUUUACACUAUUUUAAAUGUAUUGCUCAACAGUCAUUAUUGAUCUCUCUCUACCUCUCUCUACCAUACUCACAGUUCACUCACUGAUGGUGUGUAGGCUGGGUGAUGGCACCUGCAGGCCUGUUUGAGGGACAACUGGACAGAACAUCUCAGAAUGCUUGGACCUCAGCUGAGACCGUUCUUUCUGUUCCCGUCCUUCAAAGGAAAGCCCCUUCUUUACACUUGCGGUUAGGCAUGAUGCUCUCAAAGUGUCUCUCUCAUGUUGUGUGUUAUUAUCUAUAGAUGUCUCCAAGACACUUUCAAAUAGUUUGCCUGUGAAUGGUUGUCCACUGUCAGGCUAUUUACUUGUAACCUUUUUAAAAUACUGCUCCCCUCUCACAGAACUGCCCUGUGCUCUCUCUCUCUCUCUCUCCAGGAUACAUGAGGUUGAAGUUGCUUUGUUGAUGGCACCCCUUCAUCCUAAGUUCUGCUCACUCUUGUUCAACUACUCUUUGAUUAAAUCAGUUUAAUUCAGUGUUUAAAAUGUGCUUCAAGUGUGUUUUUUACUGAAAGUUGACAAGGCACUUUAUGA